rnacentral:misc_RNA from 1 species
AUGUGCCCUAGCAAUCAACUUCAAAUUGUUUGUAUGGUUAAAUUGCUCGGAUAUAUCCUACACCAAAUAAUAAAAAUUACAUUAGAGAAAUUUCAGAAGUGAGUUCACCAACAUAACUCAAGAAAGAUUAAAAGAGAAAAGAACAAAGAAUAGAACAGAGAGAGAGAAGCACCCCCUUAGUGAUAAAGAGGAGUUACCUGGCCAAAAGUAUAUCCAGCACCACGUGGUGA